AUUGAACACUGGCGGCAGGCCUAACACAUGCAAGUCGAACGAGUGGCGGACGGGUGAGUAAUGUCUGGGAAACUGCCUGAUGGAGGGGGAUAACUACUGGAAACGGUAGAUAAUACCGCAUACCAUCAGAUGUGCCCAGAUGGGCGUAGCUAGUUGGUGGGGUAACGGCUCACAAAGGCGACGCUCCCUAGCUGGUCUGAGGGGAUGACCAGCCACACUGGAACUGAGACACGGUCCAGCCUCCUAAGGGAGGCAGCAGUGGGGAAUAUUGCACAAUGGGAGCAAGCCUGAUGCAGCCAUGCCGGGGGUAUGAAGAAGGCCUUCGGGUUGUAAAGUACUUUCAGCGGGGAGGCGUUACCCGCAGAAGAAGCACCGGCUAACUCCGUGCCAGCAGCCGCGGUAAUUC
rnacentral:rRNA from 1 species